AAAAAUCUAAGAAGUAGCUCUUGACUUUUUGAAAAUCUUGUCGAAUGGACCCUUAAUUAGUUUAGGGCCACAUAAGAAUAUUAGGUUCUAUAGGAAGUAAUUACCCAAUCAUUCUAUAUAAAUGAAACCAAUUAGUCCAAAUAAAAAGCUUCCUCCAAUAAUUAUGGGAAGCAUUUCUCGAUUCGUGUAUAUCAUCCUUGCGCAAAAUCCAUGUUAAUCGUCUUUGUACCGUUUCAAUUUUAUCAAAAGUUCAGAAAUUACCUUGUAACAGUUUAAAGUUACAUAAUAUCAAAAUGUAUAAAGGUCGAGAAUUCAAAUCUCUAGGAUAAUUGAAGGGACACAAUAACAUAACCUAAAUUUGGCCAAUCUAAUUAUUAAUUGUAGCAUGAUUUAAAUAUAGCAGCGCUUUGAAAAGUUAAUAUUCGAGUAUUAACCACUAAUAAAGGUUCAGUGGCUAGCUGUAUAAAUAUGCCUUCUAGGGUUAGGGUUUCUCUCGGCACCAAAAAUAACCUAGCCCUCUUCCUCUUUCCUCUUCACCUCCUUCUCGUCUGAAAGUUUGAAUUUUCGUACUGUAAUUUCUUCAAAAGCGUCAGUAAUCUUCUGAUCAGAAGCGAUGAAAAAGCUUCAAGUUGUGCUGAAGAGGAACGACUCUUCAAGUAAUUCAGUGAAUUCGUCUCUUACUUCUAGGACUGUGAGAUAUGCAGAGUGUCAAAAAAAUCACGCAGCGAGUGUUGGAGGAUAUGCCGUCGACGGCUGCCGAGAAUUCAUGCCUUGUGGCGGGGAAGGAACCGAGGGUGCACUCACUUGCGCCGCCUGUGGUUGCCACCGGAGCUUCCACCGCAGGGAGGUACAAAAUGAAGUAGUCUGUGACUGUUCUUCUACAAAUAACUCAUAGAUUAAUUAUCAGUGUUCGAGUUUAUGUUUGUAUUUUUGUUCGUUUUCGUCUCUGUGUGUGAUGAUCAGGUACUGUGAUCAAAAUUAGGCCUUUGAAUUAUUUGUUUUGUUUGUUUAUGCAUAUUGAAUCGUUGUAUGAUUUUAAUACUACGUUUGAUGAACAUCCUAUGAUGAUUUUGUAACCUUAAAAUGAUGUGCAGUUGGUUUUCGAUUCAUUAGAAAAUAUUAGUCUGUUCUUCGGCUUGCAUUCUUUAGAAUUGUCUGAUUCUUCUAUUUCAUUGUUGAUUUCUUCCCUCACAAAGAAAAUUAAGACAUGUAUGAUUUUUCUAUUGCAUUAUUACUAUUAUUUUCGAAAUUACCAUGCAGUGUGUCUGUAUAAUUCAAGACAGAAGUAAAUAACAUUUAUUAUCAACAAUUAUUAUAUAUUAAUUAAUCCAAGUUUGAAAUAUUUUUACUAGCUGUUUUCAGACAAGGGUUUGGUUCAUAAGGAAAUGACUGGUAAGGAAAGCAAGAAAAUUAAAGAAGACGGCAGGUAAAGAAAAGGCCUAAAUUAAUUAACUAGCUUUUAAUUAAAUGCACAAAUAAUUUAUUUAUAUUUGUUUUAAAAGUUGAUAUAGAACUAAGACUCUCCAUUGGGAGCUACUGAGCUAAAAUCCCUUAUCGCAACUAGAGUGACAGUAUGUUUGAUACUCGACUCCAGAAAAAUCAAAAGAAGCUAAAAUCUCAUACUAAAGGCCUCUCUCGACUGGCAUUUUGGCCUGUAAUUUAGCUCAAAUGUAACGUGUGGGAACUCAAUCAAGAAAGAAGAAAGCUAGAACAUACAAGACUGUGUUGUGCCUAAACCAUGCUUAAUAUUUUAUCAUGUGCUCUCAUGUUAGGCAUUGAGUAUGGAGGGAGCAAUCCUUUAGGUACAUGUUCAUUUUGUUCAGGUAAAUGUCAAAUCUAUGGAGUCCCG
rnacentral:lncRNA from 1 species